rnacentral:misc_RNA from 1 species
GAAAUGCGAUAAGUAAUGUUAAUUUCAGACUUCAGUGAAUCAUCUAAUCUUUGAAGGCACAUUGCACCCGGUGGGAUUCCGCCGGGUAUGCUUGUUCGAGCGUCAUUAUAACCACGCAAGCCUGUCUUGGUGUUGGGGAUUGCGAAUUUUGCAGCCCUAGAGUCCAGUAGCGUCACCUGCGGGUCCUAAGCGUAGUAAUUUCUUCUCGCUACAGAGCCUGCCGGUGGAUAGUGUAAAUCCAGUUAAGUCUGCGUGUCCUGCUAUUAAACCCCCAAUUUUUAAAGGUUGACCUCGGAUCACGUAGGGAUACCCGCUGAACUUAA